rnacentral:rRNA from 1 species
GCAGUCGCCGCGGUAAAACGUAGGUGGCAAGCGUUGUCCGGAAUUAUUGGGCGUAAAGGGCUCGCAGGCGGUUUCUUAAGUCUGAUGUGAAAGCCCCCGGCUCAACCGGGGAGGGUCAUUGGAAACUGGGAAACUUGAGUGCAGAAGAGGAGAGUGGAGUUCCACGUGUAGCGGUGAAAUGCGUAGAGAUGUGGAGGAACACCGGUGGCGAAGGCGACUCUCUGGUCUGUAACUGACGCUGAGGAGCGAAAGCGUGGGGAGCGAACAGGAUUAGAUACCCCGGUAGUCCCUGUCUCUUAUAC